UUCCGGUUGAUCCUGCCGGAGGCGACCGCUUUGGGAGUUCGAUUAAGCCAUGCGAGUCGUGAAUCUUAGGGACUCGGCAUACUGCUCAGUAACACGUGGAUAACCUGCCCUAUCGUCUGGAAUAACCUCGGGAAACUGAGAACAAGGCCGGAUAGUUCACAAUGCCUGGAACGGUUUGUGAAUCAAGGUAGGAUGGGUCUGCGGCGUAUCAGGUUGUAGGGGGUGUAAAGGACCCCCUAGCCUUCGACGCGUACGGGUGUUGGGAGACAUAGCCCGGAGAUGGAUUCUGAGACACGAAUCCAGACCCUACGGGGUGCAGCAGGCGCGAAAACUUCACACUGCAGGAAACUGUGAUGAGGGAACUCCUAGUGCAUGCACUAUGUGUAUGUAGAUCCUACUCUUAACAAGUAGAGGGAAAGGGCUGGGAAAGACCGGUGCCAGCCGCCGCGGUAAUACCGGCAGCUCAAGUGGUCGUCGCUUUUAUUGGGCCUAAAACGUCCGUAGCCUGUUUGGUAAAUCUGUGGGUAAAUCAAUCCGCUCAACGGAUUGAAUUCUGCAGAGACUGCCAGACUAGGGACCGGGAGAGGUGUGGGGUACUCGAGGGGUAGGGGUAAAAUCCUGUCAUCCUUCGAGGACCACCAGUUGCGAAGGCGCCACACUGGAACGGAUCCGACGGUCAGGGACGAAGCCUAGGGGCACGAACCGGAUUAGAUACCCGGGUAGUCCUAGGUGUAAACGCUGUGAACUUGGUGUCGGGGGUCCGCAAGGGGUCCCCGGUGCCGGAGUGAAGAUGUUAAGUUCACUGCCUGGGGAGUACGGUCGCAAGGCUGAAACUUAAAGGAAUUGGCGGGGGAGCACUGCAACGGGAGGAGCGUGCGGUUUAAUUGGAUCAACGCCGGA
rnacentral:rRNA from 1 species